GUGCUAUCUUUAGUAGCACAUAUACUAAAAUUGGAACAAUACAGACGAAAGUAUCAUGGUCCCUGCACAAGAAUGACACACAAAUUCCUAAAACUUUGCUAUUUUUU